UGGGGAAUUUUGGACAAUGGGGGAAACCCUGAUCCAGCCAUCCCGCGUGUGCGAUGAAGGCCUUCGGGUUGUAAAGCACUUUUGGCAGGAAAGAAACGUCGUGGGUUAAUACCCCGCGAAACUGACGGUACCUGCAGAAUAAGCACCGGCUAACUACGUGCCAGCAGCCGCGGUAAUACGUGGGGUGCAAGCGUUAAUCGGAAUUACUGGGCGUAAAGCGUGCGCAGGCGGUUCGGAAAGAAAGAUGUGAAAUCCCAGAGCUUAACUUUGGAACUGCAUUUUUAACUACCGGGCUAGAGUGUGUCAGAGGGAGGUGGAAUUCCGCGUGUAGCAGUGAAAUGCGUAGAUAUGCGGAGGAACACCGAUGGCGAAGGCAGCCUCCUGGGAUAACACUGACGCUCAUGCACGAAAGCGUGGGGAGCAAGCAGGAUUAGAUACCCUGGUAGUCCACGCCCUAAACGAUGUCAACUAGCUGUUGGGGUCUUCGGACCUUGGUAGCGCAGCUAACGCGUGAAGUUGACCGCCUGGGGAGUACGGUCGCAAGAUUAAAACUUAAAUGAAUUG
rnacentral:rRNA from 1 species